AAUGUGAAAUACGGGCAGGGUGUAGGCAAAUUCAGGGAAUUUGGUGUAAAUCCAAAACAGUCCCGCUACUGUAACCGGAACGAAACUGCAAUAGCCACUAUUUAGGGCAUCAGACCUAUGGACGAAUGGGAAGGCGCAGGAGUAGGAAAGCUAACUAACUAAGCCGGAAGUCAGGAUAUCUGAUCUGCUGAUAAACUUUAC
rnacentral:ncRNA from 2 species